AGUCGAGGGGUAACAGGAGUAGCUUGCUACUUGCUGACGACCGGCGCACGGGUGCGUAACGCGUAUACAAUCUACCUUUUGCUGAGGGAUAGCCCAGAGAAAUUUGGAUUAACACCUCAUAGUAUGUUAAGAUGGCAUCAUUUUAAUAUUAAAGGUUACGGCAGAAGAUGAGUAUGCGUUCUAUUAGCUAGAUGGUGUGGUAACGGCACACCAUGGCAACGAUAGAUAGGGGCCCUGAGAGGGGGACCCCCCACACUGGUACUGAGACACGGACCAGACUCCUACGGGAGGCAGCAGUGAGGAAUAUUGGGCAAUGGAGGCAACUCUGACCCAGCCAUGCCGCGUGCAGGAAGACUGCCCUAUGGGUUGUAAACUGCUUUUAUACAGGAAGAAACACUCCCUCGUGAGGGAGCUUGACGGUACUGUAAGAAUAAGGAUCGGCUAACUCCGUGCCAGCAGCCGCGGUAAUACGGAGGAUCCAAGCGUUAUCCGGAAUCAUUGGGUUUAAAGGGUCCGUAGGUGGAUAAUUAAGUCAGAGGUGAAAUCCUGCAGCUCAACUGUAGAAUUGCCUUUGAUACUGGUUAUCCUGAGUUAUUAUGAAGUAGUUAGAAUAUGUAGUGCAGCGGUGAAAUGCAUAGAUAUUACAUAGAAUACCGAUUGCGAAGGCAGAUUACUAAUAAUAUACUGACACUGAGGGACGAAAGCGUGGGGAGCGAACAGGAUUAGAUACCCUGGUAGUCCACGCCGUAAACGAUGGAUACUAGCUGUUCGAACUUCGGUUUGAGUGGCUAAGCGAAAGUGAUAAGUAUCCCACCUGGGGAGUACGUUCGCAAGAAUGAAACUCAAAGGAAUUGACGGGGG
rnacentral:rRNA from 1 species